GUUGGGGAGGAGGGGGGAGUUGUGGAUCGCUCUGGCUGGAGUUGACCCUCCCUGCAGGGGAGAAAUAAGAGAGGAACUGGCAAAGAUCACUUGCAGCCAGUUUGUGAGGGGCCCAGAGGCAGGGGAUUCCCAGAUUUCAUGUGGGAAGCCCUGAGUGGGGUUUGGAGCUGUUUAAGUAACCAGAAGAAGCGCCCGUUCGCCCCUGCUUCCCAGCCUCUCCACAAGUGUGCAUUUGACACCACCCUCCAACCUUGAACCCAGAAGGUACAAGGAAAUCCCCAAUCAUGGCAUUUGCAGGUAAAUGGGACAGAGUUAGAGAAGAUAUUGCUAAGUGAAGUUAGCCAAUCCCCCAAAACCAAAUGCCAAAUGUUUUCUAUGAUGUAAGGAGGCUGAUUCAUAGUGGGAUAGAGAGGGGGAGCAUGGGAGGAAUAGAUGAAAUCUAGAUAGGGCAGAGGGGUG
rnacentral:lncRNA from 1 species